rnacentral:rRNA from 1 species
CUUGCUUCUCUUGAGAGCGGCGGACGGGUGAGUAAUGCCUAGGAAUCUGCCUGGUAGUGGGGGAUAACGUCCGGAAACGGACGCUAAUACCGCAUACGUCCUACGGGAGAAAGCAGGGGACCUUCGGGCCUUGCGCUAUCAGAUGAGCCUAGGUCGGAUUAGCUAGUUGGUGGGGUAAUGGCUCACCAAGGCGACGAUCCGUAACUGGUCUGAGAGGAUGAUCAGUCACACUGGAACUGAGACACGGUCCAGACUCCUACGGGAGGCAGCAGUGGGGAAUAUUGGACAAUGGGCGAAAGCCUGAUCCAGCCAUGCCGCGUGUGUGAAGAAGGUCUUCGGAUUGUAAAGCACUUUAAGUUGGGAGGAAGGGCAGUAAAUUAAUACUUUGCUGUUUUGACGUUACCGACAGAAUAAGCACCGGCUAACUCUGUGCCAGCAGCCGCGGUAAUACAGAGGGUGCAAGCGUUAAUCGGAAUUACUGGGCGUAAAGCGCGCGUAGGUGGUUCGUUAAGUUGGAUGUGAAAUCCCCGGGCUCAACCUGGGAACUGCAUUCAAAACUGACGAGCUAGAGUAUGGUAGAGGGUGGUGGAAUUUCCUGUGUAGCGGUGAAAUGCGUAGAUAUAGGAAGGAACACCAGUGGCGAAGGCGACCACCUGGACUGAUACUGACACUGAGUGCGAAAGCGUGGGGAGCAAACAGGAUUAGAUACCCUGGUAGUCCACGCCGUAAACGAUGUCAACUAGCCGUUGGGAGCCUUGAGCUCUUAGUGGCGCAGCUAACGCAUUAAGUUGACCGCCUGGGGAGUACGGCCGCAAGUUUAAACUCAAAUGAAUUGACGGG